GACCCGUGGCCACACACGCCAGUGACACUCUCAUCUUCCUCCCUAUCUCUCUCUCACACAGACAAAGUACAAGCAGCGCCUCCGCCCUCCCCACUGCCUCCCGUCGCUGGCGCAGGGACCCUCCCCCUCCCUUGCUGCGCGCUGCUUUGGCAGGGACCGCCCUUCCCCUGCCUCCCAGUCCCCACCGCUGCUGAGACGCCGCCCUUCCCUUGCAUCUCCACCUCCAUCGAUAGAUGGAGGCGCAGACUUCGGCUCCACCAGAUCCUUGGUUGCGGACUCGACGCGAGCGAUGGAGGGCUCUGCAGCGCCUAACUCCUCCUCCUGCGGGAAAAGACGCGGAAUCGGAGCAAGCGCCGAGGAGCGCCGGCGAGGACGCGCUGCUCCGGUGGAUUGGGCGUAUCGCGAGCCUCACCGUGUGGCCAAGUACGACGUGCUCCAGAGUGGAGUGGUCGACGCCCUCCCCACCUCGCCCGUGACUGGUAUUUCGUCAUCCGCCCUUUGUUCGGUUCAGCUCUGUCCGACGCUGCGUGCGCCUUGACGCCACCGCCCUAGCCACAGCCCCACACCUCGCGCCACGGCCGCCACAAUCCCAUGGCUUGGCAUAAGUGUGAUCUAAUAAUUCAGAAAUGUUUUUCUGUAAUCAAUUGCUCAUGCAAUUCUAUAGGCUGUGGAAACUGCUCUUUUACACUGGUACAAUUGCAGUGUUAAGCUGUAACUUAUUUGUAGUUUAUUCACAAUGAGUACAUAAUAUCUCUAUAUAAUGCCACACCAAUAAGGCAUAUUUGAUUAGUCUUGUUUGGUCGAACAUUCUCACAUGUAAUGCUGGAUGCUCUAGCUAAUCUGUGUUCUCAUUUAUAACAAGAUGCAUUGUUGUAUAUCUGAACAGCAGGUUUAGUUCUGACAGAAAAAGCAAUAGGGCAGGUACAACAUGAAGUUAGGUUCUACUCCCUCCGUCCCACAAUGAAAGACGUUUUUUCAAGCUAUAUCAGUUUAUAAAAACGUCUUACAUUUCGGGACAGAGGGAGUAGUGUUUAAUAUACAGUGCAGGUACAUCUUCCUUGCUUAGUCUAAUUGUGAUUGUCAAGUAUUCCUUGGUUGCUGAUUUUUUUUUUGUGAAAUCUUCUUGUGCAUAUGUGAAGGGAAGCAAGCUUGGAUUCACUAAAUGAUGUGUACACACCAAGUGCGCCUCACUUUCAUAAUAGCAAGCAACCCCAUUCUGAGGUUCUUCUGAUCAUGGCACUCUUAAUAAUUGAAGGGGAGAGUUGGUGUUCAUGAAACCAGAUUGCUUUGCUUGCUACAGAGUAUGAGCCACCAAGAUUUGUUUCCCGUGAGCUGGCCUCCUACGCCCAACCGGUGGCUUGAUGUCAAGGUAAAGAAAAAUCUGAUCAAAGUUAGUACGUGAUCCAAGUUCGUUGGCUUGUGGCGAGGGCCUCAAUAUGGCGACGUGCGGCAACCUGUGCUCGCAUCCGUGGGUCAGUAAGGCAGAUCUGCAGGCGGCCAUGGCGCCCUGCGCUGACGUCCGUGGGGCAGCAGAGGUGGAGCGGACGGUGGCGCCGGAGAUCCUUGCUGGCAUCCAUGGGGCAGCAGAGGAGAGCGGCAAGCAGCGACAGCGGCCUGCGCUCGCGUCCUUGGGGCUGUAGAGGAGCGGACAGCGGCGGCUUAGUCCAGUGUUCGCGUCCAUUGGGCAGCAGAAGAGGAGAGAACCGCGGGAACGUGGAUUAGUGCUCGCGUCCAUGGGGCAACAGCCAGCAGAGGAGGGGCGGUGGGCGGGUGGCGGGGAUCCGCGUUGGCAUCCGUGCGGCAGCGAAGGAGGACAGACAAAUUGUGAUUGUGAGGGCAGAGAAAAUUACGGGAUUGAAAUCCCCUAUCCCCGCUAAUUGAGGACGAAGGGGUGCGGUGGGCAGUCUGCUCCGGCAGAACAUUUCAUCUGGAUCGUUCAUUUGUGUGGCAGACCCUUGAUGUAAUAUGGACCGCUAGAUGUGAUUUAAUUGGAUUGAUCGAACGCCUCUAGUAAUCCUGUGUACACUUUGUGGUGUGUCUGUAGGAGAAAUCAUGUUUGCUCUUUUAAUAGUAGUAUAGAUUAAUAGUAGUAUAGAUAUAGAUAUAGAUAUGCACCUGGGUUUCGAGAUAGCAUCAGUCAGACAAAACUCUAUGAUGCCAAGCUGCAGAGUGGUGGUUUUGAAAGGGAAAAAUAAUGAUGUAUUUUGUGCUACCUGAUAAUGCCGGUGCAAAGAAGAGAGCGAUCAUAUCUGAGAAA